rnacentral:lncRNA from 1 species
GCUUAGUUGUGCGCGCCCGCGCUCUGCUGUCUGCAGACCGCGUGCGCCGGCAGUGGCUCUAAGGGGGCCGCGAGGGCACAGCGGGGCAGGACCGCGGCAGAGCGCAGUAAGGAGAGUGUGGACCCUCGCCCUGUCCUCUAAGCUCCAUGUGAAAUGUGGAUAAUAUUCCUUACUGCCAUAAAUAGCCACUGGCCGCUGACUACGCGUAAGGCAAACAAGCGACCUGCGUUCAAGGGACCCGAAGACUAGGGGAGAAGCAGCGAGCGGGUCGCGGCCGCCUACCCAACGGACGCCUCUGCCCAGGUUCUCUGCCGGGAAGCUUCGUCCUUCCGGGCCCCAGCGCAGCCGGAGGCUGGGGAGCUGCUGCCUGGAAGGGUCAGAUACCGCCUGUUAGGCGGAGGGUGGGAAAGACACUCUCCUGCUUCAGGAGCUAUCGCAGACAACCGGAGGGCGGCUUAUCGCAGAGUCCCAGAGCCAGCCAGCAAGGCAAGGUCGCGGGUGCACCUUUCACUCCCAGAAGCUUGGGUCUGGGACUGCACCACGCAACGUUUGCCCAUUUUGAGGGCUUUAGGUGUUUCAUAUUUCAGUUAAUAGAAUUUCGAUUAAUACAUAAUUUGAUACCAUUUUAAUUGUUUGCUACUCGGGAGCAAGUUUUAUGUUUAGCUGUAGGAGUUAGGCUAAGUUAAAUGUUGCAAUGCUAUAUAUAUUUAAUAGGAUAUGAAAAAACUAUCUUACAGCCGGGCGCGGUAACUCACGCCUGUAAUCCCCGCACUUUGGGAGGUCGAGGCAGGAGGAUCGCUUGAGCUCAGGAGUUUGAGACCAGCCUGGACAACAUAGUGAGACCUUGUCUCUAUUUAAAAAACAACAACAGGCCUGGCGCGGUGGCCCACGCCUGUAAUCCCAGCACUUUGGGAGGCUAAGGCGGGCGGAUCACCGGAGGUCAGGAAUUCAAAACCAGCCUGGCCAACAUGGCGAAACCCUGUCUCUACUAAAAAUACAAAAAUUAGCCAGGCAUGGUUGCGGGCGCCUGUAAUCCCGGCUACUCGGGAGGCUGAGGCAGGGGAAUCCUUGAACCCGGGAGGCAGAGGUUGCAGUGAGAUCGCGUCCAUGCACUCCAGCCUGGGCGACAGAGCAUGACUCUAUCUCAAAAAAAAAAAAUCUUACUAUUUGGUAUGGAAUUUUCUGAUAGCUAGGGUAAAGAUGCUCUUUUUCCAAGAAGGAAUCCGAGUAUCCGAAUACAGGUGGUUUAGUGUUACUCUUUGUUUAUUGGAAGUUGUAGCAGCUGUGUUUAGAUAGUCUGCUAAAACAAAAACUGCCUAAACCAGAAGAGUUUAUCUUUUGCCAUUGUGUAUUAAAACUCUUCAUAGAAAUAUUUAUUUUGGAGUUUGAAAUUUAAGUGAAAAUGUGGCUCAUGCAUAGGUGUGGGUGUACAUAUGACUUUCAAGUGACAAAGAAGAUUCUUAGCAAAUUGUACGUGUUCAUUAAGACUCAUAAGUUACCUCUUUCCUAGAAAAACAAUAUACUCCUCCAAAAGCUCAACUGACAAUGAGAAACUGCAUUUCUGGACAUGAAAAGUCAAAUGAAUGCGGGGAAAAGUAAAUUGCCUAUAGAGGUAUUUUCUGUAUUUCCCUAGAGGGGGAAAUGUGUAAUUUCUCAAAAGGAAGAAGUCCUCAUUUAUCCUUCUGAACCACAAUCAUAUGAAUCCAUUCAAUUAAUAUUAAUCUUAUCUUCUAUUCUCCAUCACUCUCUACAUCUUUCUAUAAUUGCAUCAUUUUCUUGUCCGUAUAAUACAUCAAAUGCAGAGGUGAUUUUAAGGGAGCCACAAAUCAAGAAGUCUCAAUUCAAUAAUUUCGUUAAAAUGUAAGAAAUAUAUACGGAUUAAGAAUAUUCUUAGGUAAUUAUGUUCUGUUUCAAAUAUCAGUGAAAAUUUUCAUAGACAUUUAAGGGGUAAAAGACAUUUAACAGAUAGAAAAAAAUAUCUACCUUUUAAAAAAUGACCUUCUCUUUUGUCCUACGUGAUUUGUUGAGCAGACUGGGUUUUUUAAAAGUUUCUGUUGAAAUGAGCAUGUUGUAACAUGCUCAUAUCCCAUUUCAAUUGACAAAUAUCACUUGGAUAAUAAUUGUAUAUCUUAAAUAUGAACAUAUGAAGCAAUCAGCAGCAGCAUCCUUUCACUGAGCAAGGCUUAAAAAUACCAAAGAAUCAGUGCCAGAAGAAAUUCUUUAACUUAAAAUAUACGUAAUCACUACAUUACCAUAUAAAACAAUGAUUUCUAAAUGCUGGAAAGUAUAUAUCUUAAUCAUGAGACGAGGCAGCACUAUGCACAUUGUGCAUAAUAUGUGAGACAUUGAAUGGUAUAAAAUAAAUUUUAACUUUUAUCUAAGGUUUACAGGAAAAGCAGCAAUACCUAUGAUUAAGCCACCCGACUUAAAUGAGUGUUUUUAAGAUGUGGUGCUUGCACAUAAGCGGAGGAGUGGUGGUAACAACCCUUGUACAGUUCACAAAUCCAGGACUGGCAGGAAGGUAGACAAGUGUCAUUCUCAGAUUUCAGAACCCAGCCUGAAAGUGAGAGGACGUCAGGCAACAAUACCAUGCAACGACAGCGUGCAACAAAUACACAACUGGAUUAUCUUUUUAAGGGAGAAGCUUGUUUGGGUUUCUAAUUGCUUUUAAUGAACCAAGUAUUGAUUACUGUUUUACCCAAAACUGUACCAAAAUAUGUGUAAAACUGAUAAGAUAAUUUAUAGCUUUCUAGUUAUGGAAAAGCUUGCAAAUUAAAUAAUUCAAAUCUCAAUUUAAGAACUGUAAAAAUGAGAAAUUGGUUCAUGUACCAUAGUGAUAAUAAUACCAACAAUACUUAACAGUAGACUAUGCAGACACUAACCAUAAGAGAUUUGUAGUGGCUAUACUAAUAUCAGAUGAAACAGACUUUAAGAAAGAAAUUUCUUUUUCUUUUUUCUUUUUUUUGAAGUGCAAUGGCACAAUCUUGGCUCACUGCAACCUCUGCCUCCCGGGUUCAAGCAAUUCUCCUGCCUCAGCUUCCCAAGUAGCUGGGAUUACAGGUGCCCGCCACCAUGCCUGGCUAAUUUUUUGUAUUUUUUUAGUAGAGAUGGGGUUUCACCAUGUCAGCCAGGCUGAUCUCAAACUCCUGACCUGAUGUGAUCCACCUGUCUCGGCCUCCCAAAUGGGAUUACAGGCCAGCGCGUCUGGCUGACAAGAAAUAUUUUUAGAGACAGAAAUUCCAUACUGAUAAGAGGGUCAAUACAUUGAGAAGAUAUAACAGUUAUAAAUGUAUAUGCACCCAGUAACAGAGCCCUAAAUUCAUGAAGCAAAAAUGAUUGAAUUGAACAGAGAAAUAUACAAACAACAGUAGUUUGAUAUUUCAGUAUCCUACUCACAAUAAUGUGUAGAACAACCAGGCAGAAAAUCACUAAGUAUAUAGAAGGCUUGAACAAGACUCUCAACCUAACCAACAUGUACAGACCACUGUACUUAAUGACAGCUGAAUUUAUGUUCUUUUUAAAAAGUAUACUCUCCAGGAUAGCCUUAUGUUAGACCAUAAAUAAGUCUCAGUAAAUUUAAAAGAAUUGGGAUCAUACAAAGUACAUUCUCCAGUUACAGUGGAAUUAAAUUAGGGAUUGACAAUAGAAAGAAAUUUGGAAAAUCCCCAGAUGUUUGGAAAUUAGAUUACUCAUGGGCCAAGGAAGAAGUACUAAAGGAAAUUAGAAAGUAUUUUGAAAUGAAUGAAAGUGAAAACAUAUUGAAGUCAUGCACUGCAGCUAAAACAGUGAUCAAAAGGGUAUUUAGUCCUUUAAACACCAAGAAAAAGAGUCUCAAAUCUACACUUCCACCUUGAAAACUAGAAAAAGAGGAGGAACGUAAACCUUUAGCAAAGGGAGGAAAUAAUGAUCAUAUUGCAAAUCAAUAAAAUAAGUAACAAAAAUAGAGAAAAUGAAAAUCAAAAGUUUGUUUUUUAGAAAAAAAAAAAAACCAGUAAAAUUAAUGAGCCAACAUUAAACUGGCCAAAAAAUUAAAAAGACCAAAAUUAGGAAUCAAAACAGGUACAUCACUACCAACCCAAAUUAAAAGGAUUGUAAGAGACUGUAAAUAACGUUGUGCCAAUAAAUUAGACAAUGCAGAUGAAUUGGACAAAUUCCUAGACAGACACAAAUUGCCAAAACUGGCUCAAUAGAAAAUCCAAAAAGACUUUAUUUUCUAUGGUGGUUGUAAAAAAAAAAAAAAGUAUUAUAAACUAGGUGGCUUAAGACAACAGAAAUUUAUUAUCUCAUGUUCUAGAGACAUGAAGCUCGAUCAAAGUGUUGGCAGGGCUCUGCUCCCUCUGAAACCUGGAAGAGAGAAUUCUUGUCUCUUUCCCACUGCUGGUGUUUUCAGCAAUCCUUGGCCUUUCUUGGUGCUCCUUGGUUUUACAACUGCAGCACUUCAGUCUCUGCCUGCAUCUCCACAUGUGCUGUUCCCUCACGUGCCUGUCUCCUAGAGGCUGAAGUGCCCAGCCUACUCCAGUGUGACCUCAUCUUAAUGAAUUACAUCUGCAAUGA